rnacentral:tRNA from 1 species
GAGAAGAAUUUAGAAAUACAGAAAUUGCUAACUAUCUGAUCUCGUGGUUAAAUUCCACGAUCUCCUCA